rnacentral:rRNA from 1 species
GAUGAACGCUGGCGGCGUGCCUAAUACAUGCAAGUCGAGCGAACAGACGAGGAGCUUGCUCCUCUGACGUUAGCGGCGGACGGGUGAGUAACACGUGGAUAACCUACCUAUAAGACUGGGAUAACUUCGGGAAACCGGAGCUAAUACCGGAUAAUAUAUUGAACCGCAUGGUUCAAUAGUGAAAGACGGUUUUGCUGUCACUUAUAGAUGGAUCCGCGCCGCAUUAGCUAGUUGGUAAGGUAACGGCUUACCAAGGCAACGAUGCGUAGCCGACCUGAGAGGGUGAUCGGCCACAUGGGAACGGAGACACGGACCAGACGCCUACGGGAGGCAGCAGUAGGGAAUCUUACGCAAUGGGCGAAAGCCUGACGGAGCAACGCCGCGUGAGUGAUGAAGGUCUUCGGAGCGUAAAACUCUGUUAUUAGGGAAGAACAAAUGUGUAAGUAAAUAUGCACGUAUUGACGGUACCUAAUCAGAAAGCAACGGCUAACUACGUG